CCCCCCGGGGCCAGUGCUUUUCUCGGAUGCCAAGGGAGCCAGCGGAUGGUCCCACGGCCCUCUGGACCAGCAGAAGCAAUCUAGCUCCAUACUGCCAUCCAAUGGUGGCUUCUGAAGACCGUGUACAAAACAUCCUCCUUUCACGCCGAAUAGCUCAUUCAGAACAAAAUCCUAGAGCGAUGGUCCGAUACCA